GUCAAAUCUGUGUAAUUUUAUUGCUCAGAUCUGUGUAAAAAGCUACACAGAUUUUCGAUCAGCUUCUCUUCCAAAUCUGGGUAAAAAAGUGUUGGUGAUUUUUCAGCAGUCAUGCAGUCAUAGAAAACUUGGAAUUGGAAUCCCGUUGAACUAAAAUCGGUACCCUCGAAGUCGAUCAGAUAUUCUAGAGCCAACAGAUGACGAAGUCUGGAAUGGUACACCCGGACUUGUUGCAGAUGCUGGGCAUGAUGGGCAUUCCCGGAUUGACGUAUUGCUGGCCCUUGGCCGUCGCCUGGAGUUCACUAAGAAAUAGGUCCAGUUUUCAACAAACAAUCGCGAUCGACCGGAUGAUAUGUGCAAUAUUUUUGUCAAUAUCAGUUUCAAUAAUGAUGAUAGUGUUUAUUGUAAAUUAGGUUUAAUUGCAUUAAUGAAAAUAUAUAAAUCUUGUUUUAAUAAGUUAAAACCACGUUUGAAACAUUAAAAAUCUUAUUUAAAAUCACAA